UGGGGAAUAUUGCACAAUGGGCGAAAGCCUGAUGCAGCAACGCCGCGUGAGCGAUGAAGGCCUUUGGGUCGUAAAGCUCUGUCCUAGGGGAAGAAUAAAUGACGGUACCCUUGGAGGAAGCCCCGGCUAACUACGUGCCAGCAGCCGCGGUAAUACGUAGGGGGCAAGCGUUAUCCGGAAUUAUUGGGCGUAAAGAGUGCGUAGGUGGUUUUGUAAGCGCGGGGUGAAAGGCAAUAGCUCAACUAUUGUAAGCCCUGCGAACUGUGAGACUUGAGUGCAGGAGAGNAAAGCGGAAUUCCUAGUGUAGCGGUGAAAUGCGUAGAUAUUAGGAGGAACACCAGUGGCGAAGGCGGCUUUCUGGACUGUAACUGACACUGAGGCACGAAAGCGUGGGGAGCAAACA
rnacentral:rRNA from 1 species